GGGCAAGCGUUGUCCGGAAUUAUUGGGCGUAAAGAGUACGUAGGCGGUUUGCUAAGCGCAAGGUGAAAGGCAGUGGCUUAACCAUUGUAAGCCUUGCGAACUGACAGACUUGAGUGCAGGAGAGGAAAGCGGAAUUCCUAGUGUAGCGGUGAAAUGCGUAGAUAUUAGGAUGAACACCGGUGGCGAAGGCGGCUUUCUGGACUGUAACUGACGCUGAGGUACGAAAGCGUGGGGAGC
rnacentral:rRNA from 1 species